UUUAUGCAUGAGUUUAAGGAUUUAGAGUUUGAUUCUUGCAUGAUUGUAAGUUAGGGCUCCAAAAAUGGGGUUUUGUGAUUUGUUGGGUAUUGAUCUAAAUUGAUCAAGUGUAAACCUAAUUGCUAGGUGUUUAAAUGCGUAGGCGAAGACGGUUCGACGAUUCGUCGAGCGGGUGCAAAGUUACGGGCAAAAAGGGGUCUUCCGAGUUUCGUUUCCGCCUAGGAGGCCAAGACGACGUCGUAAAAUCGGCGAACUUCAUUCCUAGAGUUGUGACAACGCCAGAAGGUGGGUGGUGUCAUCCCGAAGCAACCGGGCUCCUCUUUAUGUCUUAGUGCAUUUUAAAUCUUGCAUCUCUUGCAUAUAUGCAUUGUAGGAUAAAUGUGCAUUUUCAUUUCCUUAUGCUUUCCUAGAUGAUAUCAUAGUGUGAGUUGAAUGCUUGAUAUAGUGGAUAGAUAAGGAUUGGGUCGAGACAUUGAAUCCUAUAGUGCUGAGAUAAGAGAUGGACUCGAUAGUUGAUAAGACAUAACGAGUGGCAUGUAAAUAAUAAUAACAACAGAACGAGUGGCAUAUAACUUAGUAUAAAAAUGACACUUGACAUGUGAACUUAGGGAUAGGUGGAUUCCCUAGUGAUGAGUCAUUGAAUAAGAACUUAGUGUAGUUAAACACUUGCAUAUGGACAUUGGGAUAGGUGGAUUCCCGAGUGACAGUUAGC
rnacentral:lncRNA from 1 species